GAAUGAGACCUGGGUAGACCAAUGUAUAUUUGUUGUGCCAAAGGUGUGGAAAGAAGCACAUGAUGACAAAAUGACAUUAUUGGGAAGUGUGAGAAACUUCCUCCAUCACCACCCUUGUGAUGAUGUAGAGUUCUUCCAAACAGCAGCACAAUGGGACCACAAGUUGGAUCAUUUUAUUCUCAUAAUGAACAGCAGUCACAAUAUCAGCGCAAUUUUAUUUCGUGCCUUUUGGAGGCUAAAAGAACAAUUUGAGACUCAUAUAAACCCAGGUAACAAAUAUUGAGCCUAGACGUUUGUUCCUUAAUUAGUUUGUUUUUUGUUUCUAAAAUCUUUUUGUGUUUAUUGCAGGUACAGAUAUGAAAACAGCUCUAUCGUCAGUCUUACCUAUAGGUAACAAUCUUUUCGAUGCCUAAACUAAAUAGAAUACUAGACAUACUUCCUUAGUGCCUCAUACUUCAUAGGGUGCAAGUUUUCCAAUUGAUCUUCCUUAUCGGUUGGAAAAAGAAUCAUGUAGUUCUUAUUUUACUUGGCAUUGCUUGAUCUAUUUGGAAAUUCAAUCGGCAAGAUUGCCAGCACAUUUGGUUAGUGGGUAAAUGCAGAAGGAUACUAUGCUUGGUAAGUUAUAAUAGUGAUAAAUGCAUAAUGAAACUGCACUUCAAUAUGCUUUAAUUUAGUAAGGAUUAUGAUGGGUUUUGGGUUUUGAAUUACGUUCUUCAAAAAGAGAUACUUGUGUCCACAAAAACUGUGUUUGAUUGAACAUUGCCAAUGUAUCUUUCCCAACAUUUUAUAGCAAGCUAUUUAGUUUUCUAAAGAUUGUCAUUGCUCUUUUUGAAACACGGUUGUUCUCUUAGGGACCUAAUAACUGAUUAACCUUAGGUUGUUUGAUAAGCAAAAAUCUGUGCUGCCUUUUUAUCUUGAUGAAAACUCAAUUUCAUUGCACCCUAGAAACAUGGUUGUUCUCUUAGGAACCUAAUAACUGAUUAACCUUGGGCUAGAUGAUAAGCCCGAAAUAUGUGAUGUUUCGAUUUUGAUAAAAACUCAGUCACUGAAUGUGCUAACUUACAGUUCCACUUGUUUCAUUUAUUCUCAGAUCAAAGGAUAUCUGGUGUGGCAGUUCAAUUUGUUCAACAACCCUCGGUCCCAUGACCUAAUAUGCUAGAGACAUAUUCCAUGGCGUUUCCUCAUUGCAGACAUUUAGUUAGACUUUCUUUCCAGUUUAUGUUUUAGUUAAAUGGCACUUUGAGCAGAACUAAUGUUAUGGAUGGUGGUUAUGGCUAGAAGAUGCGGAUGUAUGUCUGUUGUGGUGGAUGACGGUUAUGGCUUGAAGAUGCUAAAGUCUGUUGUUGUGGUGGAUUGUUUUGAAUGCGAUGUAAUAAGAUUUAACUCUAAGGAUGUUGCUGAUUCCACUUUACUUGUCUGAAUUUUGUUGUAUUACUCUCUUUCUAUAUUAGUUUCCCUUAUGUUUUGGGUUUGGUAUACCAGAUCAAACACACAUUGUGUAUGUGUGUUCGUGUACAGUAUGAGAAAUUUAACAGCUUGAAUCUACAAAACGUUGCUAUCCUCAUUCUUAGCCUUAUCAAACCUAGCAGCUCUACUUUCCCACAAAUUAUUAUACCUAGAACUAACAAACGCACGAUUGAUCAGAAAAUAUGGUUUCUCCCUUCUUUUAGUUUGGUGUUUCUUAAAUCAAAUGCUUCUUUGUACAUUGUUGUGAUUUUUUGGUAAAUGGGUCAAAGGAUUGGGAACUUUUUGUAUAGGACCAACCUUUUUUGUUCUCCGGACCUUGUUUUUUUACACGUUUAUGUUCUGUGUGCAUUGGCCCUGGAUAGUGUUGAUUCCAUUGGUUUUUCUUGAAUUGAGAUAAUUUAGGGCUUUCAAUGAAUUAGGGUUUUUGUAAGUUUGGCUAUGAAAAAAAAACCCUAAUUCACUGAAAGUUCAUGAAAAGACCAAAUAAGAUUUUUUGGCAAUUUAGAUUGGUGCAUUUAUUACGUUAAAGCAGUGUGUUUUCCAGCUCCUAUAAAAGCUGCAAUUUUGCAUGAGAUGGAAGGCUUAAUUGCUUUUUUUUCCUUCUUUAAUUCCUUCUUUAGGAUAAAAUGAUCAUAAAACUAAGAUCUUCACACCGGUUGAAAUAGAUUGAAAAUUGGAUCACUUAAUUUUGUAACCGUAGUUUUUAAUAUAUAAACAGUGUCGCUUUUAUUUUUUUUAUUUCAGUCCAUAUUGUAUUAAAAAUAAUCUCUUGAAUUUUGUAAAAAAAAUGCCGAAUUGCUCGGCGGCGCCUAGGCGGGUUUGGUGCUUGGCGGUGGGUCACCGCUUGACUAGCAACAAGCACCAUUUAAAAGACUGGGUAGUAUAUUGUAAGGGUUUUUUUUGAACACCCUCUCGAGAAAUCCUGGAGCUGCCACUGGUACAUAUAUACUACAAACAAGUGCUCAGGACGUGUCUCUGUACCCAUACCCAAUUUGGGGACACAUAUCUCAUCAUCCUAAGAUUUAAGUUUUGGAAGGCCAGACGCUUAGACUUGCACCCGCAGCCAAUACUCGCACCCGAGUCCAUGUGUUUUUCAUCGGAGAUAACAGGGUGGGUAUAGUCCUAUUGUAAACUGUUGGGUGGUGAGAGUGAGCGAACAAGGGGUUUGGGUUAUAUGAUUUAGCCUGAUGUGUUUUUCAUCUGAGAUAACAGGGUGGGUAUAAUCCUAUCGUAAAUUGAUGGGUGGUGAGAGUGAGCGUACAUGGGGUUUGGGUUAUAUGAUUUAGCCUGAUGUGUUUUUCUUGUACUCUGUAUUCUCAUAUAGUGAAGAAUGGAUCUUUCCCGUGGAAUAGGCUCGUUUUUGGCUGAAAAUCUCUCGUGACACUCUCAUUUUUCUUUUUUGUGAUGGCGCACUCUCAUUUUUUCUUUGUGAUAAUACUUUUCUAGUAUUGGAUCUCAAUACAUGCGUAUUGCGGAUAUCACCAAACUUCAGUGAAAUCCCAAUAGGUGCAAACCUAUCUCACCACCACCCAUCAAUUACUGGGAUUUAGUACGUUAUUUGCAACUACACCAAGAAAUUUAAAUCUCAUGCAAAAUAUAACUUUUACAAGCAAGGAACUUUUAUCUUUUCAACUUUUAUUAGAGGAGCGGACCCAAGAUUUGAAAAUAGCAACCAAAAAACCAACUGUGUUCGCACAAUCCUAUUCAAAACUAAAGAUGCUCUAUGGACUUAAAUUGAGCACUUUUUCCUUUUUAACCUUGGGGCUUUUGUGGAACUGGUUUCUCCAAUACUCCCUUAAUUCAUCUACUUCGGAUGGUACAUUUCGCUAUAGAGUGUGUGUACAUGCUAGCUGCUACGGUACACUACGUAAAAAUGGGGCCCCCAUUGUGAAUUGACUAUAAGAAUUGGCAUAUUCACAGUAACAACGCAUGUUCUCCAAAUUCAGCCAUAAGUGUUAUUUAGUUAAUGACCCAUGAUUGCUUCAGCCUCUAAUAUCAAUCUUCUUUGGACUCCUCAAUAGACUCUGCUUGAUUGACAUAGAAUUUGAAUGCCUAACAAUCAUAGUUUAUGACGCUACUCAACCACUUCACUUUUGAGAUAUGGAAAAGUACCAAAGAAAAAACCUCUAAAGCAUAUGAAGUGUGUUACCAACCUGUAGGACCCUCCUGAGUUGUGACCAUUGAAGCUUGAUAAUACCUCCACACUCCUCCUGUCCACAUGGAUUCAAAUCUGAAAGGUCUAGCCAGCUUGGCCAGCUUGGGAUCUGUAUCCAAGACAAUUGGACAAUCAGCAAAACCAACAGCAAGCUCAUGAAAUGCAGAAGCAAAAGGAAAGAGUUCUCUCCACUCUGGAUUUGGUAGGUCUCUGUUGAUUCUUUCGAAAAGAGUCUCUCCCUCCUUCCUAUUAUUCCGCCAAGUAAAUCUAGGACAAAUAAAUUCAAGGUCCAUCAAGCCACCUACAAUCAUCUAAUAAACUAUCAAAAGCAAAAAUUCUGUUGCAAUUUGGAAUCUCCCACCUUGCUUCUUCGCGAUUGAGGAGAUAUCACUGAAAUCCCCUAAGCACACCCAUGGGCCAUGCAAACAAUUGCUCAAGGCUCUCAACUGAUCCCAAACCCCAUCUUUAUCUUUUAUGGCAGGCCCCCCAUAAACAAACGAGAUAUUCCACGAUUCAGUAGGCUGAUAUUUCAUGGAUGAGGUUAUGGCCUUUCUCCUCUACACAUAAUUUAGCAUCUGAAUUCCACCAUACAGCCAAGCCACCUGAUAAACCAUUAGGAUCUACAUAACAGAGAAAAAUGCUAAGCAAAAAAAUGGAGUGGGGGCAAAUACACGGGGUUGGGUCAAUCAACAUUUAAGGGGGUCAAAAUGGAAAAUUAAGAACCAAAAAUAUGCUCCUAUAGUAGAAUUCAAAGUGAGAGGGUUACUUGACCUCUUUGAGAAGUUAGUCCCUGAGAAAUUAUUUUUCUAGUUCAACUAAGAAUCGGUCAGUGGCUCUUUUCGAUAAUCUCUUGGUCUCCUUCCUCUUAGUAAGUGACAGAUAUUAUAACGAAAAUAGGACCCUCCUUUUAAUUAGAAGCGAUUAUAGGAACAGUUUACAUGGCCCUAUUUGUAUGAUGUUUACAUAGCCCUGCUCUUUCCCCUGCCCGAGUAUAUGAGGUUUUCAACCAAGUUUUCCAGAUGGUGGGCUGAUUCUUUUCGCUGAAAAAGAAAUCAAAGAAACAAAGUUUUCUAACAACUUUCCAACUAAACAGAGGUAUCAAAUUUUUAUUCAGAUAUAUAAAAGAGGUCAGUCAGGUUUCAAAUCUCACCAGAUGGAGGUUUAAACCCCAACAUCCAUCCCCUUCCCCCAUGAUGUUGGAGCACAGAUGUAUUGUCAAAAAAUCAAAAUCAAAAUAAUUCUUUUUUUUAUCCGCAAAAUAAAAAUAAUUCACUCGCACUAAUAGCAAAAUAGCCCAUCCAUCCUUGCACCACCCUUGUAGAUUUUAAAUCAUACACACACAAAAAAAAAAAACAACUAUUAAGGUGGUCGUUAUUUACCUAACCUCUAUUGACAUCAAGGAUCCGUAUGUUGAUAAGAAACCACCGUAAGCCAGGACCAACAGAGUUUAUAUAAGCCCAAACCAGUAGAUGAAGAUCUAAGAGCACAAAUGAUUAAUCUAGAGAAUAUUGUGGUGAAUUAAGAGGGGGGGAAAAUAAGAAUUCCAAUCAUCAAACCUCCCUAAAUCUGGCAGGAUCCAAUUGGAAAAUAUUACUUGUGGACUUAAAUUACACCCCACCACAAGAGAAGAAAAGUGAGCAAAGAACAUCCACGUUAUUUAAUUGGGAAAGCAAUCAAACGAUCAAAAUCAAAACUUGAAAUAGAGACAAGAAAGUGAGAGAUCGGUCUCCACAGGGGUGGAAGCCACUUACAUGUCAAUUGUCAAGACUCGUCCCUCCCUAGUAUCAUCUCUGAAACAUACAUAAGGCAUCUCAAAGCUUUCAAACGUAUAUGAAUUCACAAACCUCGUGUGUGUGCGUGUUUGUGUGUGUGCGCGCAUGCGAGAGAGAGAGAGAGAGAGGGCGGGGGGUAGAGACAGGGGAACCCUCACCAAUUUGGAAACGAACGGGAGAAGGGGAGGAGUAAGUGUACAUCUCCGGAAGGGUAGUUCGGUUCAAGUUUAAAAUGUGCCAGAUGGAUGGAGUUUAGAAAAGUUGUGCCCAAAAAAUUAGCGUGGUAAAUUCAAUAUUGUGCGAUAACAUACCAGUUAAGUGGAAUAACACAAUAGUUUGCCAAUUGACUAAAAAAAAACCAAAAUAAUAGAAUUCUAAACGGAAAGUGAAGGGCAAAGAUGACAUUCUAGAAAUUAUGGGGGAGGCACUUAUAACAAUUACAAAAACUCGAGGGAGCUCAAUAUAACCUAUCCUCUCUCUUUUUUUUCAACCAGACAAUACAACAUGGACUCCGGUCAUAUCCACACCACUGUGUUCCUCUCCAGUUCGGUCUAGUUUUAAUUUCUUGGACUCAUCUUGGGCCCACAUCAAUAAUCGAAAUCGUUCACUGUGUAGAACUUGUCAAUUUCUCCAUGAAUGAUAAAAAUCAAGGUCAUUGAAAACCGACAAAAGAUCAAUCGGAAUACAUUUAUUUUGAAACAAAUGGGUUUUAUUCGUGUGCUUGGUGCAUUUUGUUCGAGAUAAUUGUAAUCCGAAUGGUCCUUUACUGAUAUUUGCUGAACUUGACUCUUAUCAUACUUGAAUAAAUAACUUGACUAGCUCUACACAACCAACGAUUCUGAUUAUUGAUGUAGACCCGAAAUAGACUCACAAGAAUCACAAAACUGGACUAAAAUUAGAGGGGAAUCACACCAGAGGCAGACAGGACCUGAGUCCAUAUCUGGUGGAAUUUUGAACCCAUUUAACACUCCACACAAAAACUGGGACCCAAGUACCUCGUUAGUUGGGCUGGGCCGACACAAGUAACUUUUUUAAAGUGCAAGAAAAUCAUAAAUGAAAGAAAGUCAGUAAGAUCAUCUCCUCGUAGCGUUUCGUGAACCGCGAGCGGAGGCUGCUGAUUUCAUCAGUUUUUUUUUUUAAUGCUUGCGAUGAUGCUAAGCAAUCAUGUAUUGCAUGUAUACGGCUGCACUCAAACGCUUCUCCUUCUUCACAAACUGCCCACCUCGAGAUGCUCAGCUCAUCUCUCGAUCAAAAAGAGAUGCUUUAUGUUUGUCUAUUUCUCCAAAAAAAAGAAAAAAGUAAACAAAGAGCCCUCUGCGGUGUACACCAAAUGUACACUGCGUUUUAUGAACCUAUUUAUGGAUUUCAUAUAAAUUAUUGGAGCCGCUCAAUUUUUUAAAAAUAUAAACCGCAAUUAGAAUUUUUUUUAAAUCUUUUAAUGAUCGGACCAAACAGUAAUAACUUAAUCAAUUCUACGCCCAAAUGUUCACUGCGAUAAAUGUGAUAAAAUAUCUCUGUCGUUUAAACAAGGUGGAAUGAUAAAUGGUCCACAGAGAUCAGUGCGUAUGCAUUUCCUCAUUUGCUCCUUUUGGCACAUGGACUUGCUGAUCCUCUUUCCCUCUAUGCAGUCCACACAAAUACUUAAGCGGUUCUUUCUCUCCAUUUCUCACCUCCUUUAGAGAUAAGGGUGACGCGAGUUCAUUUCUUUUAUUUACCAACCAACAAUUAGAUUUCCCAUAUGAAUCCUCCCGAAAACACAAGGAUUUAGUAAACCCAAAUCUUUUUAGAAAGGGAAAAAUAAAAAAUAAAAAACAAAUCUUUGCUCAAAAAGCCUAAAUCAUUUCUACAAAUCAACAGGAAAUCAUUCAAAUUAACGCCAGAAAAGGAGACAUAGACUUUACCCUCCGAUGGAUGACGCUAGUCACUCGCUCAGUGACAUAUUCGCGAGCUUCAUUGCAGAGCUUUUCGUAGGCUUGAAGAGCCUCUGGAGUGUGAAGGUGCUUCUCCAUCAUCUCCCAAUCCACUUUAUCCAACUCCUCAUGACACUUUCUGUGUGCAAGCCUCUCUCGCCGCCUUAUCUCCUCCGCGUCCCACGGUUUCAACUUCUCCAUCGCUGUCCUUGUAAGCUUCCCCCUCCACCAAUUCCACCACCACCGCAUCUUCUUCAUCUUCUCUUCUGCUGCUGCUGCUGAGGGGUAGGAUUUCGGGGCGUGGGAGUCUCUGUGUGUGUGUGUG